CUAGGUGACAGGCUGAGCUCGGCUGAGGAUGCUAGGUGACAGGCUGGGCUCGGCUGAGGAUGCUAGGUGACAGGCUGAGCUUGGCUGAGGAUGCUAGGUAACAGGGUGGGCUCAGCUGAGGUUGCUAGGUAACAGGGUGGGCUCGGCUGAGGUUGCUAGGCAAUGGAGCCAAUGGAACUCAUACUUUUUCUUCAAUAUUGUGUGAUUAUUGACUAAACAAGCUCCUACAUCGUGAUAAGAAAGUGAUUUGUAAGUUAGUUUUGUUGGUAAUAUUUUGUAUUUUUGCAGUGAAUGCCAUCACGUUGGUCACCAGUCCACUUCCUGUGUCCAGCUGAAUGUUCCAGGAAGUGUAAAAAAA